rnacentral:rRNA from 1 species
GUCUUUUUGAGUAUAAUUUAAAGUCUGACCUGCCCAAUGAAGAAUUUAAUGGCCGCAGUAUUUUGACUGUGCAAAGGUAGCAUAAUCAUUAGUUUUUUAAUUGAAAACUGGAAUGAAAGGUUGGACGAAAAAAUAACUGUCUUUUUUAUAAUGAUUUAGAAAUUUAUUAUUAGGUUAAAAAGCCUAAAUUUAUUUUAAAGACGAGAAGACCCUAUAGAGCUUUAUUAUUAACUAUAAUUUUUUUUGUUAGAAUUAUUUUAUAAAUUUAUAGUUAAUAAUUUAAUUGGGGUGAUUGAAAAAUUUAAUAAACUUUUAUUUUAUAUAUACAUUGAUUUAUGAAUGAUUGAUCCAUUAGUAAUGAUUAAAUGAUCAAGUUACCUUAGGGAUAACAGCGUAAUUUUUUUUAAGAGUUCUAAUCGAUAAAGAAGAUUGCGACCUCGAUGUUGGAUUAAAAUUAAUGUUAGGUGUAGGAGCUUAAUAAUUAGGUCUGUUCGACCUUUAAAAUUUUACA